CCCUUUCCUAGGGAUUCUCUGCAAACCGAGCUGUGUCACGAAGGAAGAGGCAGAACUUCCCUUUAGAAAGAAAACAGGAGCAGCAAAGACCCGGCAGGCAACGGGAAGGCUUCUCGUUCCGCCUCAGCCCCCUCCCUUCUGCAAUACUGCAGCUGAAAAUGCUCACCUCUCGGCACUUUCUGCUCUCUAGAACGCCCGUUUAAGGGACUGUCCACAAAUUAUCUGGAUAAUAUUGAAAACGCAAAGGGUUCUCGGCGGUGCCAUCAGUGCCUGAGCAGGUGUUCAUUCUGUGAGCAAAGCGAACAAUUUCACCUGUGUUGCCAACAAAUUUCUUUACAGUUCCGGAUUUUCAUUGUAAGGUUCAUAAACAGGCAGCAAUCCAACAGGUAAAGCCUUACCCACCACGUCCAUGUGGGGAAAGAGUUGUGUAACGGGCAGCAAUCCAACAGAUCAAAUCUGCUCCAUCAAAAUAUUGACCUUUCUCCUUGUCGGUGCACUUGCCUCAUGAAGAAAGUCCUUCUUGGUUUUUGAAUCAUAAAGGAAUCUCUUUCAGCAAAAGGGCCCGAUCCAGCCAGAUCUAACACUUCUGAAGUCCCAUUGAUUUUGCUGAGUUAAGCAUGUGAUUAACUUUGGCUGAAUUGUGACCACAGUUAGUAGUCAGUUGCUUCAUAGUGAUUUGGAGAAAAAGUAUCCAGAGACCUGGAAAUCAGGGCCACUUUGACGUGAUAGACCUUCUGUUGGGACUUCGUCACAGCAUUUUUUGGAACCUCUAAACAUUUUGAAUCAAUCAACUGAAUGCUUUAUUUUCUUCCCAGAUUCAAUUAAAGUUAUAGUCAUAUCUGCAUGUUUAUUUGGAUUAUGGAAUACAGGAUCUUCUGACAUCUUUCUCAAGUUCCUGUGCUAUUUUAUGAAUACUGAAGAUCAUAUUUUGUUUUUGUUCAUAUGAUAUGUAUUCUGCUGCUGGUUAGCAAAUUAUUGUGGUAAAAAGAAUUUUAUAUUG